rnacentral:lncRNA from 1 species
UUAAACAUAACAUUUAUUAUUUAUUUUAAAAAACAUUAAAGAUUUAGAAAACCCAAAACCUUUUUUCAAAACCCCCUUUUCCUUAAAAACAUUUUACCCUUUUGUUUUUUUUUUUUAAAAACCUAAAAUUCUCUCUUCUCCCUCACUUCCUAGCCGAAGGGCUAAAACCCAGCUCUCAUUCGCCGCCUCAUGCACGGCCGUAAACAGCCAUCGGAAGGCCGACGUUCUCCCCCUUUUGCUAGCGAAUCGAAAGGUACGUCUCUCCCUUUUAUAAAAUAUUAGUUUGUAUUUCGUGGACUUAAAUGAAAAUGGAAAAAAAGGAAAAACAGAAUAAAAUAAUGAUGAACAACCACCUUUUGAAAUGUAUUUGUUUGGCUGAUCUCUUAUUGUUUUUUCGUGUAUAUUUUGUAUUCAAAAAUCGUCCCUUUUACAAUGAAAAACGAAGGCUUUAUAACCAAAAUACAAACAACUUCUGCCUAUUUCUUUGCUCAAGUCGCAGGUGCUGUGAAAUCGUGGAGGAAGAGUGCAUGAUCGUGCAACGUGCGAGCUAGGAAUUCGUUCGUGGGUGUUGAAGUGUGGGAGUUGCGGCGUGGGCAAAUGGAACCCUAGGGUUUGCUAUUUUUUGAAAAAAUUUGGGUCGUUGGGCUUGUAAUCGGGCCUUUUAAUUUUAGUGAUUUGGGUCUGUAUCUUGGGCCGGGCAAAAUUUGGGCCCUACACCAGUAAAUAAAGUUUUAAGCUGUCCAUCUCUGUAAAUAAAGUUGGAAAUCAGCCUUUUUUUAGUAAAAUAGUUGUGAAAAUUGAUUUUUUUUCUAUUAAAAUUUUUAUUUAUUCUGUUAAAAGUCAUCAUGAUUGAUGAAAUAACAAGGUAGUGGCACGAUAAAUACACCUUAUGUUGAUAUGUAGGACAACUUUAAGGGUAGAAAUUAAUAGAAUUUGUAACAGAAAAAUUAGUUUGCUCUUUAAUCUAAUUUACAAUGACUAAUUUGUCUAUUUUUAA